GCGGGGCCGAGGCCAGCUGCUCCUUUUAUCGCGUUGCAUCGCGAUUCAGAAAAGCUCUAGAAAACGCUUUGGAAGGCGUUAGGGGUAAUUUGACCGUGGUCCAUUUCCCCUUUAAGUCAGGGCAGCUGGGAAGAGACUAGCAGCUACUGCGAAAGAAAAGCCUUAGUGCAAACGGAAAUGCUUCCGCAGCCUCAUCCCCAACUCCUACCACGACUAUACUCGCACCCCAGGGGGAAAGCACUCUGACUUUAUCCCAUAGAUAGUCCAAAGGGUGCUAAGAGAAACCCAGAAGGUGGUGGUGACAAGAAACAGAGAACCGGGGGAAGGAGACGAAAAACUCACCAACCGAAGCAAUGCAAAUUCAGUCUUUGAAGUUAAUCAAGCAGUCUUAAGAGUUGGAGGCAGUGCUAGAUGAAAAAAAGGCAAAUGUAUUUCAGGUAUUGAUUAUAGCCAUCCAUCAAAAAACCCUCACAUGUUCUCAGGAAAGCUCAAGUGAAAACGCAACUGAAACGCAAAAAAAGAUUUGUGCAGUGUAUGGAGAAGGUGCUGUGACUGAUCGAACAUGUCAAAAGUGGCUUGAGAAGUUUCGUGCUGGAGAUUUCUUGCUGGACGAUGCUCCACAGUCGGGUAGACCAGUUGAAGUUGAUAGCGAUCAAAUCGAGAUAUUAAUUGAGAACAAUCAACGUUAUACCACGUGGGAGAUAGCUGACCUACUCAAAAUAUCCAAAUCGAGCGUUGAAGACCAUUUGCACCAGCUUGGUUAUGUACAUCUCUUAGAUGUUUGGGUUCCACAUAAGUUAAGUGACAAAAACCUUCUUGACAAAAACCUUGUCAAGAGUGUGAAUCCGCGUGUGAUUCAAAAACCUUCUUGACAAAAACCUUCCGCGUGUGAUUCUUAAACAUUAACGAAAACAUUCUGUUUUUAAAACAAAUGGUGACGGGCGAUGAAAAGUGGAUUCUGUACAAUAAUGUGGAACGGGAGAGAUCGUGGGGCAAGUGAAGUGAACCACCACCAACCACACCAAAGGCCGGUCUUCAUCCAGAGAAGGUGAUGUAUGUAUAUGGUGGGAUUGGAAGGGAGUCCUCUAUUAUGAGCUCCUUCUGGAAAACCAAACGAUUAAUUCCAACAAGUGCUGCUCCCAGUUAGACCAAAUGAAAGCAGCACUUGACAAAAAGCGUCCAGAGUUAGUCAACAGAAAACGCAUGAUCUUCCAUCAGGAUAACGCAAGACUGCAUGUUUCUUUGAUGACCAGGCAAAAACUGUUACAGCGUGGCCGGGAAGUUCUGAUUCAUCCGCCAUAUUCACCAGACAUCGCACCUUCAUAUUUCCAUUUAUUUCCAUCUUUACAAAAUUCUCCUGUUGGAAAAAAAUUUCAAUUCCCUGGAAGACUGUAAAAGGCACCUGGAACAGUUCUUUGCUCAAAAAGAUAAAAAGGUUUUGGGAAGAUGGAAUUAUGAAGUUGCCUGGAAAAUGGCAGAAGGUAGUGGAUCAAAACAGUGAAUACGUUGUUCAAUAAAGUUCUUGGUGAAAAUGAAAAAUGUGUCUUUUAUUCUUAGUUAAAAACUGAAGAAAUUUUUUGGCCAAGCCAAUAGAACUAUUACUAGAUUCUAGGAAGGGAAAAAGGACAUAAAAAU